rnacentral:rRNA from 1 species
GAGUAAUGUCUGGGAAACUGCCUGAUGGAGGGGGAUAACUACUGGAAACGGUAGCUAAUACCGCAUAACGUCGCAAGACCAAAGAGGGGGGACCUUCGGGCCUCUUGCCAUCAGAUGUGCCCAGAUGGGAUUAGCUAGUAGGUGGGGUAACGGCUCACCUAGGCGACGAAUCCCUAGCUGGUCUGAGAGGAUGACCAGCCACACUGGAACUGAGACNCGGUCCAGACUCCUACGGGAGGCAGCAUG